GCCUCUCUCUCUCUCUCUCACUUUGUGACUUGUAAUCCUUAGGCUAGUGGAGCUAGGCUAGUAUUUCUCUUAGCGAAUACAAGUUGUCUUCAGGUUGCUCACCAUUUAAAGUGUUAUAUGGCUAUGAAGCAAUCUUUGGGGUGUUUGUGUGUACUUUUGAUCAUACUCCAUCAGAGGUAGUGAAUCUAGUAUGAGAAAGGAAGAUUCAGAUGACUCCUCUCAAAGAUCAUUUAGCAAAGGCACAUAACCACAUGAAACACAAGCUGAUUGUAGUAGGGUGGAUGGUUAGUUUCAGUGGUGAAGAUUGGGAAGGCAGCUUAUCACCUGAAUCUGCCAGAACUGCAACCAGAGGCUGUCAUGGAUCGGCGCAUGUUGAAGGGAGAUCAAGCCAUCCCUUAGUUAUUGAUCAAGUACAGCAAGCUGCCAGUUCUUCGGCUACAUGGGAAGACCGGUUGCUUGGAGACAGUCGACGUCUUGGGUUUGGGGCGGGGAUGUCACAUUCAGCACUAAUGGUGACAUGGACAGGAUGAAGGUGGGAACCACUAAAGCCAUCUCCGACAUGGUAGGAAAUUGAACUACUCUGAGAUAGUGAGUGUGAAAGGGGUGGGCCCGCUUGUGGAGCCAGCCUGGUGUUGACGGUCCUUAAAUGCAAAAUCCAACCAUCAACCAUAUUCAUAAAUAAAGGAAAACUAUGCACCUUACUCACAUAUAUUAUUUACAAUAACCUAGUUCCACAUGUAUCGGCCAAUAAGUGAUUUCAGGUACACAAGUUUGGAAUAAGAGGAAACAACACAGAAGACGUAGCAGAAAAGAAUAGAAGAUCAUAUCGUGCAUCACACUUACAAAGAGGGCCCACUUGGUAGGGCAAACCGACGUGCAAAGGUGGCAAACACUCAAGGGAUAAGGCAAGAACCCAUCUAUCAGCCAUCCGUCCAAAGGCGGUGGCUAGGGGGCCUACCUGGGGGUCACCGACCCCUAGGGUUGGCCGAACCAGGCUGAGCUCCCAUCCAGGUGCAGCUUGGCGGGAGAUUCAUUCUUAUGCUCCUGAAGUUGGUGCCCAGUGUUUCUAUCCUUAACUCCACCAGCAACCGCCCUUGGAAGUAUGAAAGGAGGAGGAGGAGCCCUCAUUCCACACACACCACACUUGAAGCCUCACUCCUUCUCUCACUUUGUGACUUGUAAUCCUUAGGCUAUCUAGUGGAGCUAGGUUAGUAUUUCUCUUAGGGAAUACAAGUCAUCUUCCGGGUCUUAGCGCAAUCUUCAGCCUUGGGUAUGGCUUUGUAU